GCGUGAAUGGGGUAGUGGUAACCUUAAUCGUUGCCAACAUUGCACCGUUUCGAUUAGCCAGGGGUUCGAUUCCCCUUUCACGCA